GGGCGCGUUCAUACCAGCACUAAUGCACCGGAUCCCAUCAGAAAAUCCGCAGUUAAACGUGCUUGGGCGAGAGUAGUACUAGGAUGGGUGACCUCCUGGGAAGUCCUCGUGUUGCACCCC
rnacentral:rRNA from 1 species